rnacentral:rRNA from 1 species
GACGUAGGUGGCGAACGUUAUCCGGAAUUAUUGGGCGUAAAGGGUGCGUAGGUGGCCUGACAAGUUAUCAGUGGCAAAUCGAGGCUCAACCUCGUGGAAACUGGUAAUACUGUUCGGCUUGAGUACAGGAGAGGUUAACGGAACUCUAUGUGGAGCGGUAAAAUGCACAGAUAUAUAGAAGAACAUCAAUAAAGGCGAAGGCAGUUAACUAUUCUGUUACUGACGCUGAGGCACGAAAGCUAGGGGAGCGAAUGGG